rnacentral:rRNA from 1 species
ACGGGAUGCUUAGGCAUCUAGUGGCGGACGGGUGAGUAACGCGUGAGAAUCUGGCUCCAGGUCGGGGAUAACAGUUGGAAACGACUGCUAAUACCGGAUGUGCCGAAAGGUGAAAGAUUUAUUGCCUGGAGACGAGCUCGCGUCUGAUUAGCUAGUUGGUGGUGUAAGGGACCACCAAGGCAUCGAUCAGUAGCUGGUCUGAGAGGAUGAUCAGCCACACUGGGACUGAGACACGGCCCAGACUCCUACGGGAGGCAGCAGUGGGGAAUUUUCCGCAAUGGGCGAAAGCCUGACGGAGCAAUACCGCGUGAGGGAGGAAGGCUCUUGGGUCGUAAACCUCUUUUCUCAAGGAAGAAGAAAGUGACGGUACUUGAGGAAUAAGCAUCGGCUAACUCCGUGCCAGCAGCCGCGGUAAUACGGAGGAUGCAAGCGUUAUCCGGAAUGAUUGGGCGUAAAGGGUCUGCAGGUGGAACUGAAGGUCUGCUGUUAAAGAGUUUGGCUUAACCAAAUAAAAGCGGUGGAAACUACAGAACUAGAGUGUGGUAGGGGCAAAAGGAAUUCCUGGUGUAGCGGUGAAAUGCGUAGAUAUCAGGAAGAACACCGGUGGCGAAAGCGUUUUGCUAGACCAUAACUGACACUGAGGGACGAAAGCUAGGGGAGCGAAUGGGAUUAGAUACCCCAGUAGUCCUAGCCGUAAACGAUGGAUACUAGGCGUGGCUUGUAUCGACCCGAGCCGUGCCGGAGCUAACGCGUUAAGUAUCCCGCCUGGGGAGUACGCACGCAAGUGUGAAACUCAAAGGAAUUGACGGGGGCCCGCACAAGCGGUGGAGUAUGUGGUUUAAUUCGAUGCAACGCGAAGAACCUUACCAAGACUUGACAUCCUGCGAAUCCCAGUGAAAGC